rnacentral:rRNA from 1 species
GAUGAACGCUGGCGGCGUGCCUAAUACAUGCAAGUCGAGCGAACAGACGAGGAGCUUGCUCCUCUGACGUUAGCGGCGGACGGGUGAGUAACACGUGGAUAACCUACCUAUAAGACUGGGAUAACUUCGGGAAACCGGAGCUAAUACCGGAUAAUAUAUUGAACCGCAUGGUUCAAUAGUGAAAGACGGUUUUGCUGUCACUUAUAGAUGGAUCCGCGCCGCAUUAGCUAGUUGGUAAGGUAACGGCUUACCAAGGCGACGAUGCGUAGCCGACCUGAGAGGGGAGUCGGCCACACUGGAACUGAGACACGGUCCAGACUCCUACGGGAGGCAGCAGUAGGGAAUCUUCCGCAAUGGGCGAAAGCUUGACGGAGCAACGCCGCGUGAGUGAUGAAGGUCUUCGGAUCGUAAAACUCUGUUAUUAGGGAAGAACAAAUGUGUAAGUAACUAUGCACGUCUUGACGGUACCUAAUCAGAAAGCCACGGCUAACUACGUG